rnacentral:rRNA from 1 species
AUCUUUUUUCACUGCCCUUUUGCCAAGGUAUGUUCGACAUAUCUCUGCCCCACUUGGACUCCAUGCUUCCAAGGCAUACAACCAGAGCUCGGAAGAUUAAAAGACCUUCUGGGAGUCCCAUUCUCUCUUGAGAUUAUCAUUUUGGCGGGAUGGGCAAUUUGGAUCGCCAAAAAUGGUUUUAUAUUCAAGGGUAUAACACCUAAUCUCUACAGAUGCUGGACGACGUUCAAGGAGGAACUGAAUUCGCUGGUGCAUAGAGUUAAUAGGAAAGAGUAUGUGAACCUUGAAGAGUGGGUCAAAGCCUUUAGAUGA